AAGCAAGUGAGAGCUCAGAGCUGGUUUUCCAUGCCCUUACCUGUCUGUGAGCUCCUGGAUGAAGGGAGAUGCUCCCUGCCAGGCUCCUGCCGCACAGGAGGACGCCGUGAGCGCCGAGGGUCACCACCACACACUGCAGGAAAGCUCCACCUCAUGGAGAUGCCACUGGACCUUACAUGGCCUUUGCCAUCUGAAACACACCAAUGAGUUUAGCUGCCUCCUCUUCAUCCUGGACAUGGUAUGGUGCUUGGAAGCCACUCUGGCGGGAGAAGAAGGCUGGGAACUCCCUUGAUUCUCCAAAGGCAGCCACACACACACCCUGGGUCUCCUGCAGCAGUGGAGCAGCUUUGCCUUGACCAAGAACACUGAGAGCAAUCCAGUAAGUCAUGUGCUUCAUUCUUACAACUUCACUGAAUGAGGAACAUCAACAUCCACCACCUCAAAUUCAGGGGAUGGGCCAUGCCAUGUGUAAUGAUGGUGCUUUCCAAGGCUACCACGGGUCUGCCCUCCACCAGAGCCUCCUGCACAGAGGGAUGGAUCCUGACAUAACCACCUGGGGAUAAACACACAAGAGUGAGUUAUUUGUGUGGGUAUUUGCAGUAACUACUGAGCUGUUUUAUAAAAAGCAAACUGUCGUCAUCACAACAAAUUUAUCCCCCUCUUCAGCUGUUCUUUGGGGUGAAUUUACGAAUUACUUCAAGAAGACUAGAUCUGUGUUUUACGUAAGUGAAAUGUGUGGAAAACAUCUCAACUAUUAACAUGAAUGAUAAUCCUCAUCACCAUCACUGAAGGAUCCUCUGCCACCACUUUUGCAGUUCUAUGGUUACUGUUAUUCCACUUGAACAUUAUUGUGAACAAACUGAGCCCUGCAACCACGCCUAAAGAUGGAAAUAUGUUUUGGAAGAGUGGAAGCACCAAGGCUGCCAUAGGAGCUCAGUGCACUACUCACCAUGCAGAAGUCUUCUCACCUGGGUGGCCCCACGUGCCAUGGAGGACACCUGUCUUCCCAGGCUGAGGGUUAUCUUCCUAAUCAUCUUGUGCAUAUGGAAUUUCCUGAGAUAACAGAGGUCCGGUGAAAAAGAAAGAUGUAAUUUAGCAAUGAUGUGACCCUAAGAGAAUCUCAUUUCUUGCCUUAACUUUGGUAGGUAGACAGCCCUUUGCCUAAGAGAUGGCCUGGAAUCUCCUGGUGUUUUGAGCAUGAGCCAGAGUGGCAAAACAAUUUUUAAGCUGCAGAAAUGGAGUUGGAGGGGGUCACCUGACCCAUUAAUGCUGGGCUGAAAUAGUGGUGGAGCAGAGGAAAGGAUGAAGAGUAACAAACCAGGGAGAAUUCUGAAGCAGAAAACCUACAUUCCAAAGUGACCUGCUGAUGAUAGAUGUCAGGCCCAGCCACUGCUGCCUCCAACGUGAAGGGUCACAAGGAGGAAUCUACAAGGCAGAAUAGAGCUAUAGGGAUAGGAACCUGUUUUCUGCCAGUGUCUAGGAGAAAAUAAGGAGCUCAAAAAGGAGCUGAGAACUGACAAACCAGACUGGAACUGCGAGGAGGAGAGAGCAGCUUUCCCUAGAGCUGGGAGUGCUUUAUGCAGGCUCAUGUUACAUCAUCCUUUUUAGCACAGUGCCUUGGAAGCAGAGUGGCAAUUCAGCCCCAGCAACAAACUCCAGAACUCCUCUGGUCUCUUAGCAACUCCUUUUCACUCUAAUUAAAUUCACUCCCAAACAGAGAAAGAGGGGGAGAGAGCUGUAAAUGUUAAGAGAGUGGUCUGGUCUGGGCCUCAAGGCAGUUUCACUCAAUGCCUGGCUGCUUCACAUACUUUUCCUGGGCUUUUGGCCAUAUCCCUCCAGUCUCCCUGUUUUCCUCACCCCUUCACUAGGAGGAAAGGAUUCCCUUCUUCAGUCCUUUGUGCCUAUUGUUAAUUCAGAUGGCAAAUUAAUUAAAAAACAGUACUGUGUUCAUGCUACAGUUAGCACAACAUGGCUCUGCUCUCAGUACAGUGUGUGGCACUUCAGCUAUAUAGAAAAUUCUUAUACCCAGGGAGAUCAACUAGAUACAAUGCACACCUGACUGAAACACUAAGAUUUUCCACUUUCCAAAUCUUUUCCGUGCUAAGCUCAGCAGCUUGAGCAGUUCAUGGGUUCACGCAAAUGUUCUGGUAUGGCUGUGUGUGUGCCUACACACCCCUCACUCUCUGGGGCAAAGUCUGCUUCAGAAUAAAUUCAUCAAGCCAACAGCGUUACGCCAGGGAUCGGCUGAGCUGCUCGAGUUGUGCUCUGAAUUUUAACAACUCCCCAAACUCAGAAGCACAACAGCAAGGAGUGCCCAAGCUGUACUGGCCAGUGGAUAAAAACCAGCUGGUCACCACCUGAAACCCAGCAGGGCUGAGCUGAUAUUCACGGGAAGCUCAGCCAACAUCCAGCCUGAGCCGCCUCAAAGAUUAUUGUAGCUUGGCAAGUUUUGCUGCAAGCCCCACACAACCUUUAGCCUGGUAACCAAACUUUGCACGUUCCCAGUGCACGUUUCAGGCAGCUGGAGCAGGGACCUGCUCUCCUCCCGCCUCCCCCGUGCCCCACGCUGUAUCUGAGCUCAUGGAGCAAUGCCUGGUGUCUCUUACCUCUGCUGUCUGUCUGUCUCAUGCAGGGAGGCUGGGUGGGCACUGGAGCAGUGCCUGGGCAGCCCUGGGAGGAGGAGGAGGGGGGGAUGUGCUGGCCAGAACUCCUGGCCAAGGGAAUCUAUUUAUGAUUAACCGCAGGCACAGCUGAGCUCCACAACUGCUCCCUGCCCAGGGUGCAGGGGGCCGCUUCACCACAGGGCCAGGAAAGCUUCUGUGAUUAUUUUUGUUCAUGCAGAGCCAGAUUUUCCCCUUGCUCUUUAAAAGACUUUUCUCAUUUUUCAGAUUCCUUUCCUGUUAGAUUUUUUUUAAAUCAGUGAAUUCUUUGCUCGCUAAAACAAUGCCUUUGCAGACUGAGCCCCUUUGUGCUUAUUCCUAAAAAGCAGAGGAAUCACAUUCGUGCCUCCCCCACAGCUUUGCCAAAUGCAGCUGUUAAAGCUCUUUCUUCCCAGGGUGAGAGCUCUACCCAGCUCUUGGCCUCUUCAGCACGGAAAGCUGUAGGUCUAAAGACAGCUGUGGCCACAUUUUUUAUGAAUGCAGAUACCUGGCUACACCCAAAACAUGAGUUCACAGCAAAAACUAUCAUAGUCUCCUCUUAUAAUGACAACCCAUUCUAGCAGGUCAAGGGCAGCUUUGAACAAGGACUGUGAAAUUAAUGUUUGUCCCCUUCUAAAAAAAAAAUUAUGCUUUGAUAUCUAAUGCACUGGUAUGGUACAUGUUUCUGUUUUAUAUUCUGCAGAAAAUAUCAGAGCUGAGAUUUAGACAGCCAUGAAGGAACUGAUUUACAGGUUAAAAGACAGACAUGAUUCUGUGCAGCUUCCAUGCAGAACAUAAAACUAUCUGAAGUAAAUACUAACAUAUUGCUGAAGUAAUCAGGGUCAGAGAACUGAUUUUACUGCAAUCCAUUAAUCAGGAAAUUGUAAAACAUAAGUUGUUAAAUCAGUAUUUGCACUUUACACUCGUCCCUUUCAAAAGAAAUUUCUCGCAACUUCUGUUUAACCCAGCAGUAAAAAAUUGUGUCUUAUUUUCUACAUCCUUCCAGUCUCUUCAACUAAACACAUCCAAGGAAACUUCAAACAAAGCUUGCUGAGUUACAAAGACAA